UAAUAAUAUAUCAGCUUUACUAAAUUCGACAAUAACACAUUGCUUUAGUUGGUAGGUUUGCUCAUUACACGUUUUAGUGGACCACAACGCUUCAAACGACAACAAAAUUUGAUUAUGGAAAAUUGCUUGCAACAGAUGUACAAUGUAUUAAGGAUCGUCUUUGCUAAAUCUAUAUGUACAGUUUUUGUUGUCUUCAUUCUUUGAGUUUUUUUAUAUCAGUUUACGAGUUGAUGUACCGUCAUUAAGUGUUUGUAUCUCACUCGUGUCUUCCAUUUCUUGUCUUCAUACGUUUUUCCUCUUUUUUAAUGCACUUUCAAUGGGGAUUUUUUUACCGCACUUUCUAAAUGGUGAAUUUGAAAUCAUCCAUUCGUAAAUUUUACCAUACGCUAUCACGAGUUGGUUGACCGUUAUGGAAUAACCUAUUCGCAGAUGAUAUCGGAUAUGUUCGUUAUGUCGUAACUACAAUACCCUUUCCUUUUUCACGAAUGUGACCUACCGAAUUAGACUAUUUACGGGAUUUGUAAUAACAUAAGCAACACGACGGGUGCAACAUGUGCAGUAGAAUCUGCUUACCCUUCCGGAGCACCUGAGAUCACCCCAAAUGUUUGGGAGGGUCGUGCUGCUUAGUAUUUAGUUUUCAAUGAUGAGUGUGUCUUCUGUAUUAUUUGUCUGUUUGUCUUUUUAGUUUUAGCCAUGGCGUUGUCCGUUUAUUUUCUAUCUAUGAGUUUGACUCUCCCUCUGGUAUCUUUCGUCCAUCUUUUGAGAGCAUAAAUUGUCCUUCAAUUUUGAUAGUAUAGACUGUCUUACACAAAACAAUGAAAAAAAUAUAUAUUUAGGAUGGUCAUAUAUUUGUACAGAACUGAUCAAAAUGUG
rnacentral:lncRNA from 1 species